rnacentral:rRNA from 1 species
CAGUCGCCGCGGUAAUACGUAGGUGGCAAGCGUUGUCCGGAAUUAUUGGGCGUAAAGGGCUCGCAGGCGGUUUCUUAAGUCUGAUGUGAAAGCCCCCGGCUCAACCGGGGAGGGUCAUUGGAAACUGGGAAACUUGAGUGCAGAAGAGGAGAGUGGAAUUCCACGUGUAGCGGUGAAAUGCGUAGAGAUGUGGAGGAACACCAGUGGCGAAGGCGACUCUCUGGUCUGUAACUGACGCUGAGGAGCGAAAGCGUGGGGAGCAAACAGGAUUAGAUACCCCUGUAGUCCCUGUCUCUUAUAC